rnacentral:misc_RNA from 1 species
UUUCCAUAGGUGAACCUGCGGAAGGAUCAUUAAUGAGUUGUCAUGGGGUUCGAUGCUGGCAGCCAAUUUUUGGAUGCAUGUGCUUGCCCUAAUAAUCAUCUUCCAAACACCUGUGCACAUUUUUGAGGGAGUCUUGAGUUGGUUGCCGCUCUUGGGUGAUUUUCUCACAUUCCCUUAAAUCAUUAUACGCUAUUAACAAUGUUGAACGUGCUCUGUGCCGCAAGGCUAUUAAUAUAAUACAACUUUUAACAACGGAUCUCUUGGCUCUC